UAUUCUCUAGUAAGUCCUCCCCCCUUAAUCAGUGGCGAUUGUAAGAAAAAUCUUGCCCCCCCCUUUUCACACCGCUUUUUAAAAAAAUUUUUUUUUCCCCCCCCCCCUACCACGCCCGUGGUUUUACGAUUGGAAGGGUUGGGGGGCCUUCCGAAUGGGGCCGGGGGGGUGGCAAAGAACCCCCCGGGCCGGAAAAGUGGUUAAAACCCGUCAUUUUGAGGAAAUUAAAGUUGUAACAAGGUUUUCGUAGGGGGACCUGGGGAAGGGUUCUUUCCGGGUGCAGGUUUGGCCCCGGGCAGGGCUAACCUUCCCCCCGGGAAAACCUGACCAAAGUUGGUUUGGGGGGGGGCCCCCCCCCCCCGGGGGUAGCCGCCGGAGACCACACCGAACCUCCUGUCUUUAGUGUUGUCUGAGCUUGAUAGCAAACCUAUUAAAACUUUCAACAAUGGAUCUCUUGGUUCCGGCAUCGAUGAAGAACGCAGCGAACUGCGAUAAGUAAUGUGAAUUGCAGAAUUCAGUGAAUCAUCGAGUCUUUGAACGCACAUUGCGCCCCCUGGCAUUCCGGGGGGCAUGCCUGUCCGAGCGUCAUUGCUGCCCUUCAAGCCCGGCUUGUGUGUUGGGUCGUCGUCCCCCCCGGGGGACGGGCCCGAAAGGCAGCGGCGGCACCGCGUCCGGUCCUCGAGCGUAUGGGGCUUUGUCACCCGCUCGAUUAGGGCCGGCCGGGCGCCAGCCGGCGUCUCCAACCUUCUAUUACCAGGUGACCUCGGAUCAGGUAGAAACCGUGGA
rnacentral:rRNA from 1 species